GUGGGGAAUAUUGGACAAUGGGCGAAAGCCUGAUCCAGCCAUGCCGCGUGUGUGAAGAAGGUCUUCGGAUUGUAAAGCACUUUAAGUUGGGAGGAAGGGCAGUAAGUUAAUACCUUGCUGUUUUGACGUUACCGACAGAAUAAGCACCGGCUAACUUCGUGCCAGCAGCCGCGGUAAUACGAAGGGUGCAAGCGUUAAUCGGAAUUACUGUGCGUAAAGCGCGCGUAGGUGGUUUUGUAAGUUGGAGGUGAAAUCCCCGGGCUCAACCUGGGAACUGCCUCCAAAACUGCAUGACUAGAGUACGGUAGAGGGUAGUGGAAUUUCCUGUGUAGCGGUGAAAUGCGUAGAUAUAGGAAGGAACACCAGUGGCGAAGGCGACUACCUGGACUGAUACUGACACUGAGGUGCGAAAGCGUGGGGAGCAAACAGGAUUAGAAACCCUGGUAGUCC
rnacentral:rRNA from 1 species